rnacentral:rRNA from 1 species
AAAUUUACAUCAAUAGCGGAGGAAAGAAACCAACAGGGAUUGCCUCAGUAACGGCGAGUGAAGCGGCAACAGCUCAAAUUUUAAAGCUGGCGUCUUUGACGCCCGCGUUGUAAUUUGGAGAGGCAUCUUCGGUUUGGGCGCCAGCCUAUGUUCCUUGGAACAGGACGUCACAGAGGGUGAGAAUCCCGUGCUUGGCUGGCUGUCCCUUUCCAUGUGAAGUGCCUUCGACGAGUCGAGUUGUUUGGGAAUGCAGCUCAAAAUGGGUGGUAAAUUCCAUCUAAAGCUAAAUAUUGGCGGGAGACCGAUAGCGCACAAGUAGAGUGAUCGAAAGAUGAAAAGCACUUUGAAAAUAGAGUUAAAAAGUACGUGAAAUUGUUGAAAGGGAAGCGCUUGAGACCAGACUCGGCCGGAGAUGAUCAGCCGUCCUUCUGGGCGGUGCACUUGUCUCCGGUCGGGCCAGCAUCGGUUGAGACGGCGGGAUAAAGGCCCGGGGAAUGUGGCUCCUUUCGGGGAGUGUUAUAGCCCCGGGCGCAAUGCCGCCAGCCUCGACCGAGGACCGCGCUUUUUGCUAGGAUGCUGGCGUAAUGGUCUUCAGCGACCCGUCUUGAAACACGGACCAAGGAGUCUAACAUCUAUGCGAGUGUUUGGGUGUCAAACCCUUGCGCGUAAUGAAAGUGAACGGAGGUGGGAACCCCUUCGCGGGGCGCACCAUCGACCGGUCCUGAUGUCUUCGGAUGGAUCUGAGUAGGAGCAUAGCUGUUGGGACCCGAAAGAUGGUGAACUAUGCCUGAAUAGGGUGAAGCCAGAGGAAACUCUGGUGGAGGCUCGCAGCGGUUCUGACGUGCAAAUCGAUCGUCAAAUUUGGGUAUAGGGGCGAAAGACAAUCGC